rnacentral:rRNA from 1 species
AUAGAACCUGAAACCGUAUGCCUACAAGAAGUCAGAGCCCGUUAAGGGGUGAUGGCGUGCCUUUUGUAGAAUGAACCGGCGAGUUACGAUUACGUGCGAGGUUAAGUUGAGAAGACGGAGCCGCAGCGAAAGCGAGUCUGAAUAGGGCGAAUUAGUACGUGGUCGUAGACCCGAAACCAGGUGAUCUACCCAUGUCCAGGAUGAAGGUGAGGUAACACUUACUGGAGGUCCGAACCCACGCACGUUGAAAAGUGCGGGGAUGAGGUGUGGGUAGCGGAGAAAUUCCAAUCGAACUUGGAGAUAGCUGGUUCUCUCCGAAAUAGCUUUAGGGCUAGCCUCGUGAUUGAGAAUACUGGAGGUAGAGCACUGUUUGGACUAGGGGGGCAUCUCGCUUUACCGAAUUCAGACAAACUCCGAAUGCCAGAUAUUUAUACACGGGAGUCAGACUGCGAGUGAUAAGAUCCGUAGUCAAAAGGGAAACAGCCCAGACCACCAGCUAAGGUCCCAAAGUAAUCGUUAAGUGGAAAAGGAUGUGGCGUUGCUUAGACAACCAGGAUGUUGGCUUAGAAGCAGCCAUCAUUUAAAGAGUGCGUAAUAGCUCACUGGUCGAGUGACGCUGCGCCGAAAAUGUAUCGGGGCUAAACGAUUCACCGAAGCUGUGGAUGCAUACCUAGGGUAUGCGUGGUAGGAGAGCGUUCUAAUUGCGUUGAAGUCAGAUCGUA